CCCGACGCCUCUUGACAUCUAUAUUACCUCCCACGCUGGCCCGCAAAAUCACAGUGAACAGUCUAUAUCGCAUCCCUAAUAUAACCAACACCAAUACCAACCUGAACAGGGAUGUCAUCCUGCGCUUCCACUCCGUACAGGACAAAAUACAUGUCAUGACAGCUGUGAAGGGCAAAACCCCUCUCUCAUUUGAAAAUGCCACCUUGAACUUUUUCCAGGAUCUUACUAAGGCAACGCUGCUGUGGAGGAAAACCU